CGGUUUUCCCAUAUAAUUCUAUUUAACAUUUUGGGACAAAGUAGUGCCCCUAUUUACACAUAACAACACACGUCACUCAUUUUAGUACUUCCUAAUUCCAUGUAUCAAACAGUUAUUUCAGUUAUAUUAAAUCCAGGAAAAUCUGGAGAGUCCCCUGCUGAUUACAGACCCAUAAGUUUAAUAAAUUGUGACAAAUAACAAAGCUCAUAGCAAAAGUCUUGACCAGACUUGAUACAUAUCAAUCAAACAGGGUUUAUUAAAAAUAGACACAAACUAAUACAAGAACAUGUUUCAGUGUAAAACAAUACGCAAAAAUAUAUGGCUUUAUCAACAAUGGCUGUUGAUGCCGAAAAGGCUUUCGACCAUCUUCAAUGACCAUUUCUAUUCGAAACUUUAGAAGCGUUGAACUUUCCAGCUAAAAUAAUACAUUUUAUAAAAAUAUUAUAUACAUUUCCUAAAGCAAAACUAUACACACAUAAUACAUUAUCUGAUGAAAUUGCUUUAGAAAGGGGCACAAGACAGGGAUGUCCCCUCUCCCCCUUCCUGUUUGCUCUGGCAAUUUAACCACUUGCAGAAAGAAUUAGACAGGACACAAACGUAACACGUAUCAGUAAACCUAUUUGCAGAUCUCCUGAUAUACCUGACCAAUAUUGAAAACUCAAUUCCCCCCUUGCGAAUUUUUUUUUAUUUCAGAAUACUCUAAAAUCUCAGGAUAUAAAAUGUACGUGGAAAGAAAAUCUGAAAUAAUGGCAAUAGACAAAGGAAUAACUCAUGAUGUAUAGCAAUCCCUUAAGUGGACCACAAAACAUAACAAGUACUUAGGAUGGUUAAUAAGUGACAAAUAAAAUAUAACUUCAACCCAUUACUCAACAAUAUGAAAGCAGAUCUAAUUAAAUGGAACAAUCGUCCCAUAAAUCUUACAGGUAGAAUAAACCUCUUCAGAAUGCCAUGGCUCCCAAAGUUAUUUAUUCUCGAUAAUACCAAUUACCCCACCGAAGACAUUCUUUAAAAAAAGUAUACUCGGACAAAAGAGACUUUAUAUGGGCAAAUAAAACUCAGAGUAAAAUAGAAAGUUUUACAUCUUCCCGAAGUCGGAGGGGGGUUUUAACCUUCCAGUCUUGGAAUUGUAUCAACUCACUACCCAAGGCUUUUAUUCAACACAUAUAGUUAAAUACACUAAAGAGGGACAAUGGGGACAUAUUGAAGAUGUACACGCUCAUCCUCAGAAUCGUUUUAUGUGUCUGUUUUCAAAGGAUAAAGACAAGAACAUGAACAACUUCACAAAUAUGGAACACUACAACAAUCUGGAAGAAAAUGGAAUGUAUUCAACAAGAACCAAUAUCCCUCCCUAAAAACCACAACCUUAUGGAACAAUCCUUGGAUAGAUUUUCAGAAUUCACUGAUAAAUUGGUCCACAUGAAAAAACUAAAGGCAUAGAAAUCAUAAAUUACUUGGUAAUAGGAAAUACAUUUAUCUCCAUGAUAGAAUUAAAAAGCAAUUUUGGAUUGACUUAAUGUAGAUAUUUUUCAAAUACAUGCAACUUGAAAGUUUCAUAUCAAGACAUUUCGGUAUGAAAUCUUUUGAUACCAGAGCAAUCUUGAGGGAAUCCUAUUUGAGUCAGAAAAUUAUAUUUAAAUGAUAGGUAAGAUAUACAAAACCUUGCAGAGAGCCUAUUCAAUUGACAAUCCCUUUCGUACAACAACUUACACAAAAAACGACUACAUCUCAUCUGCCCAGAGCCGCAAUGCUCACACCCCCAUCCCUAGUGCAUGCAUUAUUGUUUGCCACAUGGUCUUAAAUUGUAACAAUUUGUUUUUCUCCGUCACCCAUGCUAUUUCAGUAUUUAAAUAAUAAAUCAUUAUUUUUCUUUUGUGUUAAUGAUGGCGAUUUGAUUGAUUUCAUGGUUUUCUUUGUAUAUUUUUUUUCAAGAUGAGUGAUAAGAGAAUCGUCCAACGAAUUGGGUAUCUCACUACACCCUCUCACAUGCCAUGUUUUGAAAUAUGCAGACAGACAGUUUACAUUGUAAUACUUCUGACAGCCAACUUUCUAGCUCCGCCCAUAACUUUUGGACUUCAAAGCGUUCCCAGAAAGCAUGCAUUAUUGAGUCAUUGUUAGUUUUACACUUAACUUGUCAGAAGUAUUACAACGUAAAUAUACUUUUUAAUCAGUCUGCAUAUUUCUCGACAUGACAUAUGAGGGUGCAGUGAGAUACCCGAUGGGUUGGACGAUACUUUUCUAGAAAAAACGUAGACUUAAAAAAACUGGAAAUCAACCAAUCCGCCGUUGUUAAGACAAUGGAAAGGUAAAAUGCUUUAUUAUUUAAAUGUUGAAAGUGGAGAGAAACACGGAGAGAAAUAAAAUGUUGCAGUUUGAGGCCAUGAGGCGGAGAGUGAUGCGGGCGCUGGAGAUGGUGGGGGGAGCAGGUGGGUCUGGGUAAGGGUGAUGUUGUGGAUUUUUUUGUGUGUGUCUGUAUGCUGCUGUUUUGUAUUGUUUAAAAUUAAUACCAACUACUGAGAAGUGCACAGGAAAGGCGUACAUUUCUUAUGUCUGAAUCGGCCCCUUCAUUAGAACUGGUGACCCUUUCGCUAUAUUGUACAUGGAUUACAACGUCUGGUGUCCCAAAUGGCACCCUAUUCCCAUAAGAAAAUAUCAAAAGUAGUGCACUAUAUAGGGAAUAGGGUGCCAAUUUGGGACUAUUACAAGGUCAUGCCCGUGACCAGGUUACUCCCUAUUUUAAAUCCAGAAUAUAAACUGGACUGGUUUAUAUUCUGAAUGGAUGUCGAAGUGGAUUGAACGUGAAAGGGAAAUAAAACCUAUUCUGUUUCAUGCUCGGCCUUGUCUACCCCUUCAAGAUCUUAAUAUAUAUAUUAUAUAAACAUUUCAAGAUCUUCAUGAACAAGAAAAAAAUGAGAUGGACAGGGAGGACCUGAUCCUAGAUCAGCAAUCAUCUCUCAGUUGUAUAGUGUAGGUCCCGUGUGGCUCAGUUGGUAGAGCAUGGUGUUUGCAACGCCAGGGUUGUGGGUUCGAUUCCCACGGGGGACCAGCACGGAGAAAAAAUUUAUGAAAUGUAUGCAUUCACUACUGUAAGUCGCUCUAGAUAAGAGCGUCUGCUAAAUGACUAAAAUGUAAUUUUACGAUGCGCUUUAUGAGGCCCAGUCAAUAACUCCCACAAAUCAGACUAUUACGUUUCAGGUAAUACCCAAAUGCAGACUGUGUUGAAGUAACAAUGUUUAUUACAGCAACAAGAGGAAGGAAAACGACAGGUCAAAGCAGGCAAGGGUCGAUAAUCAAGAGUAGGGGAAAAGGCACAGGACUGCAGGCAGGCAGGCUCAGGGACAGGACAGGCAAAGGUCAAAACCAGGAGAGCGCGAGGAAAAAGAGAGACCGGGGAAAAACAGGAGUAGAGAACAAAAACGCUGGUUGACUUGACAAACAAGAUGAACUGGCAACAGCCAAAGAACACAGGUAUAAGUACCCAGGGGAUAAUGGGCUACACCUGGAGGAUGGUAGAGACAGGCAAAAGGGCGUGACACAGACAACAUAACUUUAAAUAGUCAGGUAAAAGUGUUCUGGCUGGUCGUGGUGAUAACAUGGUGUAAAGGUAUAAACCUCUCCAGCUGUAGAGGGCUUGAACUGGGCCAGCUGCCCCUAGCUACCCUCUAGGCUGUAGAGGGCUUGAACUGGGCCAGCUGUCCCUAGCUACCCUCUAGGCUGUAGAGGGCUUGAACUGGGCCAGCUGUUCCUAGCUACCCUCUAGGCUGUAGAGGGCUUGAACUGGGCCAGCUGUCCCUAGCUACCCUCUAGGCUGUAGAGGGCUUGAACUGGGCCAGCUGUCCCUAGCUACCCUCUAGGCUGUAGAGGGCUUGAACUGGGCCAGCUGCCCCUAGCUACCCUCUAGGCUGUAGAGGGCUUGAACUGGGCCAGCUGUCCCUAGCUACCCUCUAGGCUGUAGAGGGCCUGAACUGGGCCAGCUGUCCCUAGCUACCCUCUAGGCUGUAGAGGGCUUGAACUGGGCCAGCUGUCCCUAGCUACCCUCUAGGCUGUAGAGGGCUUG
rnacentral:lncRNA from 1 species